GAUUUCAAAUUGUUUCCGCAAAGGACACGGGCUCCAUGUGCAUAUGGAGAUAGCUUUUAUAUGCUGCUGUUUGGAGCUAUUCAAAUUGGCUGUUCUCAGAUACGUGAAUGGUCUAAAUGGUGUGGAUUAUGGUCAAAUCUGUUUUGACAAUGUACGGAUCCCUUGAUAGAAAUUAUGAAAUUCGGUUGCUGAUGUAUCAGCAGACAGGCAUCAAACUGCAAUAACAUACUCAAUCAAGUAUUAGCUAAGCUAUUGACAUAAGGUAUUUAUUGACAAGCAAGGCCUUCUCUGUGCCACCAAAUGGGCCUCAAAUCCUAUUGCUCGAUUGGCUGAGUCAUCAAAAGAGG